rnacentral:rRNA from 1 species
CAGCAGCCGCGGGAAUACGAAGGGGGCUAGCGUUGCUCGGAAUUACUGGGCGUAAAGGGAGCGUAGGCGGACUGUUUAGUCAGAGGUGAAAGCCCAGGGCUCAACCUUGGAAUUGCCUUUGAUACUGGCAGUCUUGAGUACGGAAGAGGUAUGUGGAACUCCGAGUGUAGAGGUGAAAUUCGUAGAUAUUCGGAAGAACACCAGUGGCGAAGGCGACAUACUGGUCCGUUACUGACGCUGAGGCUCGAAAGCGUGGGGAGCAAACAGGAUUAGAUACCCCCGUAGUCCCUGUCUCUUAUAC